rnacentral:rRNA from 1 species
CCUGGCGGCCAAAGCGAUCGGGAACCACCCAAUUCCAUUCCGAACUUGGAAGUGAAACCGAUCAGCGCCAAUGGUAGUGCGGGGUCUCCCCGUGUGAGAGUAGGACACCGCCAGGC